rnacentral:rRNA from 1 species
CCCGCUGAACUUAAGCAUAUCAAUAAGCGGAGGAAAAGAAACUAACAAGGAUUCCCCUAGUAACUGCGAGUGAAGCGGGAAAAGCUCAAAUUUGAAAUCUGGCGUCUCUGGCGUCCGAGUUGUAUUCUGGAGAAGCGUUUUCCGUGCUGGACCGUGUACAAGUCCCUUGGAACAGGGCGUCAUAGAGGGUGAGAAUCCCGUCUUUGACACGGACUGCCAGUGCUCUGCGAUGCGCUCUCGAAGAGUCGAGUUAUUUGGGAAUGCAGCUCAAAACGGGUGGUAAAUUCCAUCUAAAGCUAAAUAUUGGCGAGAGACCGAUAGCGAACAAGUACCGUGAGGGAAAGAUGAAAAGCACUUUGGAAAGAGAGUGAAACAGUACGUGAAAUUGUUGAAAGGGAAACGCUUGAAGUCAGUCGCGUCGCUCAGGACUCAGCCUUGCUUUUGCUUGGUGUACUUCCUGUUCGAUGGGUCAGCAUCAAUUUUGGUCGGUGGAUAAAGGCUCAGAGAAUGUGGCAUCUUCGGGUGUGUUAUAGCUCUGGGUUGUAUACACCGGCUGGGAUUGAGGAACUCAGCACGCCGCAAGGCCGGGUACUUGUACCACGUACGUGCUUAGGAUGCUGGCAUAAUGGCUUUAAUCGACCCGUCUUGAAACACGG